GUUCAAUUAAUACAAUAUUAUAAACAUACAAAUGUAAUAAAAAUUAUUGUUCGCGAAUAUUCAAUUUGGAAUGCGAUUUUGUUAAUAAAAAAAAUACUUAUAACUUAUGCAAAACCCAAGAGAGGCAUUUAUAUUUAUUUCUUUUGCGUUCAUUUUCAAAUUCGCCGUGCAUAUAUUUUUGUGCAUGGCGCUUGAGAGGGCAUCACGUGACUAAAAACGACCAACCAACGACCUCGCUUCGGCCAUCUUGGCAUCUUCAUCUUGGCCACCUUGCUUUGCCGUGGGUGGAUCGUUGUUUGUAUUAUUUGUGCUUUUUAAGAAUAUUUUUUUAAUUCGGAUACUUUUAUAAUAGCUUUAAUAGUAUUAUUAACAUAGUGAAUAAAAUGGUGUCCUGUUUUUAACGCAGUUGGAGUAGCAGAAACAAAUGUAGAUAAAAAAAUCUGCAGGAACAACGUUUCAAUUAUGACAGAAGCUCCAAACAAAUGACUGUGAAUGAAAAGCCCUAUUAAAAGCUUUCCAGAAGAUCCUGCGAAGAAGACAUGAAGUAUAGAUCAGAUUUGUUAAUAGAGGACUAUGUUCAAAACACUUUUUAGAAAAAGAUAUUGACAGAACUUCACUUUCAUCUGUUCGUUUAAGAGACUGUGCUGUUCCAAUAGCUUAUGUCACACAGAAUCAGCUGAGAGAAGUGGUCUACAAAAAAACAGAAAGGAAACGGAAUAUGUGGCUACGAAAAGCAAAAGAAAGGUUUACAAAGCAAAUGUGACACAUUUUUUUAUAAUAUUUAGGAAUGUCAGUAAAUUACAUUAAAAAAUGUAUGUAAAGAUUUUUUGCAAUAAAAAUGUUUAUAUUUA